rnacentral:rRNA from 1 species
GAUGAACGCUGGCGGCGUGCUUAACACAUGCAAGUCGUACGGUAAGGCCCUUUCGGGGGUACACGAGUGGCGAACGGGUGAGUAACACGUGAGUAACCUGCCCACAACUUUGGGAUAACGCUAGGAAACUGGUGCUAAUACUGGAUAUGUGCUCCUGCUGCAUGGUGGGGGUUGGAAAGCUCCGGCGGUUGUGGAUGGACUCGCGGCCUAUCAGCUUGUUGGUGGGGUAGUGGCCUACCAAGGCGGCGACGGGUAGCCGGCCUGAGAGGGUGACCGGCCACAUUGGGACUGAGAUACGGCCCAGACUCCUACGGGAGGCAGCGGUGGGGAAUAUUGCACAAUGGGCGCAAGCCUGAUGCAGCAACGCCGCGUGCGGGAUGACGGCCUUCGGGUUGUAAACCGCUUUCAGCAGGGACGAAGCUUUUUGUGACGGUACCUGCAGAAGAAGCACCGGCUAACUACGUG